AAAACAGCAAUAUCACACACGCGUAGGAAGACCAUUGAUAGUGAUUUUAGGCAUAGUUAUCAAACUCGGCUCGGACUGGCCGAUUGGGCCGAAAAACCCAUAACUCGGGCUCUUGAUCGGGCCAGAUAGAAUAUUUUUAUAAAUAUGCAACUGACUCGUUAAAAACCAAGUUGACUCACUGAGUUGACCGAAUUAACCAGUGAUUUUUAUAUUAACUCGACUGAUUGACUGGUUUGACCAAGAU
rnacentral:lncRNA from 1 species